CUUGGAAUGAAUGUGUUUGAGAUGUGAGGAUAAGUGAGACUUUGGGAAUGGAAAGAGCAGAAUAAGAGAAGAAUGGGGUUAGUGGUUAAUGCUAGUGUGGUUUAUAAAGGAAGAAUCUUGAAGAAAGAGACGAGAAGGACUCGAAUAUCUUGGAACUACUCUGUUGAAUAAAUGAUAAGUCCAGAUCUGCUAACUAUUCUCUUA